AUACGGAGGGUGCAAGCGUUACUCGGAAUCACUGGGCGUAAAGGACGCGUAGGCGGGUUGGUAAGUCAGGUGUGAAAUCCUACAGCUUAACUGUAGAACUGCACUUGGAACUACCAACCUAGAGUAUGGGAGGGGGAGAUGGAAUUAGUGGUGUAGGGGUAAAAUCCGUAGAUAUCACUAGGAAUACCGAAAGCGAAGGCGAUCUCCUGGAACAUAACUGACGCUAAGGCGUGAAAGCGUGGGGAGCAAACAGGAUUAGAAACCCCAGUAGUCC
rnacentral:rRNA from 1 species